rnacentral:rRNA from 1 species
GAUGAACGCUGGCGGCGUGCCCAAUACAUGCAAGUCGAGCGAACGGACGAGAAGCUUGCUUCUCUGAUGUUAGCGGCGGACGGGUGAGUAACACGUGGAUAACCUACCUAUAAGACUGGGAUAACUUCGGGAAACCGGAGCUAAUACCGGAUAAUAUUUUGAACCGCAUGGUUCAAAAGUGAAAGAUGGCCUUGCUGUCACUUAUAGAUGGAUCCGCGCUGCAUUAGCUAGUUGGUAAGGUAACGGCUUACCAAGGCAACGAUGCAUAGCCGACCUGAGAGGGUGAUCGGCCACACUGGAACUGAGACACGGUCCAGACUCCUACGGGAGGCAGCAGUAGGGAAUCUUCCGCAAUGGGCGAAAGCCUGACGGAGCAACGCCGCGUGAGUGAUGAAGGUCUUCGGAUCGUAAAACUCUGUUAUUAGGGAAGAACAUAUGUGUAAGUAACUGUGCACAUCUUGACGGUACCUAAUCAGAAAGCCACGGCUAACUACGUG